rnacentral:lncRNA from 1 species
UUUGAGCUUUGAUCGCAGUCGGUGACUAACGGGAUAUCCAAGGUCCAAGAAACAACUCAUAUUCCUCUCGCUUUGCCAGUGGUCCGGAGGUAAAACCGACUAUCCGGUGGAGAAACGACCGGAUCCAGAGUCACCAAACAAGGAGGAAAUAGGAAAAUAGAUCAACAAAGAGUGAGUUGGAGAUGGACAAAGCGGGAGACUCGUGGGCCCUCUCACAACACCAUGCCAUACAGCGACGGAGAGGCUGAGCAGGAGGCAAGAUUAAGAUCGCAGAGUCUUAGAGAUUGAUAAAAAAAUUUAGGGGUUUGUUGGGUCACGCGCGGGAUUCUCAACUGGUUAAGUUCUUCUGUGUACCGUGUACAUGAUGGUAGUGCUCAUAAACAAUUAGCCCCUACUGCUUGUAGACAGAAUUGU